UACGGAGGGUGCAAGCGUUAUCCGGAUUCACUGGGUUUAAAGGGUGCGUAGGAGGGCAGGGAAGUCCGUGGUGAAAUCUCUGGGCUUAACCCAGAAACUGCCGUGGAUACUCUCUGUCUUGAAUCCCGUGGAGAUGAGCGGAAUAUGUCAUGUAGCGGUGAAAUGCUUAGAUAUGACAUAGAACACCAAUUGCGAAGGCAGCUCGUUACACGAAGAUUGACUCUGAGGCACGAAAGCGUGGGGAUCAAACAGG
rnacentral:rRNA from 1 species